UACAGAGGUCCCAAGCGUUGUUCGGAUUCACUGGGCGUAAAGGGUGCGUAGGUGGUGAGGUAAGUCGGAUGUGAAAUCUCCAGGCUCAACCUGGAAAUGGCAUUGGAAACUACCUUGCUAGAGGGUUUGAGGGGGGACUGGAAUACUUGGUGUAGCAGUGAAAUGCGUAGAUAUCGAGUGGAACACCAGUGGCGAAGGCGGGUCUCUGGGCCGAUACUGACGCUGAGGAGCGAAAGCGUGGGGAGCGAACAGG
rnacentral:rRNA from 1 species